rnacentral:rRNA from 1 species
UACGAAGGGGGCUAGCGUUGCUCGGAAUUACUGGGCGUAAAGGGUGUGUAGGCGGAUACUUAAGUCGGGGGUGAAAGCCCAGGGCUCAACCCUGGAAUAGCCUUCGAUACUGGGUAUCUUGGGUUCGGGAGAGGUAAGCGGAACUCCGAGUGUAGAGGUGAAAUUCGUAGAUAUUCGGAAGAACACCAGUGGCGAAGGCGGCUUACUGGCCCGAUACUGACGCUGAAACACGAAAGCGUGGGGAGCAAACAGG